GAGAGUAUAGCUCAGUGGUAGAGUACACGCUCAUGUAUGCACAAGGUCCUGGGUUCAAUCCCCAGUACCUCCC
rnacentral:tRNA from 1 species